UACGGGAGGCAGCAGUGGGGAAUAUUGCACAAUGGGCGCAAGCCUGAUGCAGCCAUGCCGCGUGUAUGAAGAAGGCCUUCGGGUUGUAAAGUACUUUCAGUCGUGAGGAAGGUGUUAAGGUUAAUAACCUUAGCAAUUGACGUUAGCGACAGAAGAAGCACCGGCUAACUCCGUGCCAGCAGCCGCGGUAAUACGGAGGGUGCGAGCGUUAAUCGGAAUUACUGGGCGUAAAGGGCACGCAGGCGGUUAAUUAAGUUGGAUGUGAAAUCCCCGGGCUUAACCUGGGAAUGGCAUUCAAGACUGGUUAGCUAGAGUUUUUGUAGAGGGGGUAGAAUUCCGAUGUGUAGCGGUGAAAUGCGUAGAGAUGUGGAGGAAUACCGGUGGCGAAGGCGGCCCCUGGCAAAGACUGACGCUCAUGUGCGAAAGCGUGGGGAGCAAAC
rnacentral:rRNA from 1 species